AUGAACGCUAGCUACAGGCUUAACACAUGCAAGUCGAGGGGCAGCAUGGUCUUAGCUUGCUAAGGCCGAUGGCGACCGGCGCACGGGUGAGUAACACGUAUCCAACCUGCCGUCUACUCUUGGACAGCCUUCUGAAAGGAAGAUUAAUACAAGAUGGCAUCAUGAGUCCGCAUGUUCACAUGAUUAAAGGUAUUCCGGUAGACGAUGGGGAUGCGUUCCAUUAGAUAGUAGGCGGGGUAACGGCCCACCUAGUCUUCGAUGGAUAGGGGUUCUGAGAGGAAGGUCCCCCACAUUGGAACUGAGACACGGUCCAAACUCCUACGGGAGGCAGCAGUGAGGAAUAUUGGUCAAUGGGCGAGAGCCUGAACCAGCCAAGUAGCGUGAAGGAUGACUGCCCUAUGGGUUGUAGACUUCUUUUAUAAAGGAAUAAAGUCGGGUAUGGAUACCCGUUUGCAUGUACUUUAUGAAUAAGGAUCGGCUAACUCCGUGCCAGCAGCCGCGGUAAUACGGAGGAUCCGAGCGUUAUCCGGAUUUAUUGGGUUUAAAGGGAGCGUAGAUGGAUGUUUAAGUCAGUUGUGAAAGUUUGCGGCUCAACCGUAAAAUUGCAGUUGAUACUGGAUAUCUUGAGUGCAGUUGAGGCAGGCGGAAUUCGUGGUGUAGCGGUGAAAUGCUUAGAUAUCACGAAGAACUCCGAUUGCGAAGGCAGCCUGCUAAGCUGCAACUGACAUUGAGGCUCGAAAGUGUGGGUAUCAAACAGGAUUAGAUACCCUGGUAGUCCACACGGUAAACGAUGAAUACUCGCUGUUUGCGAUAUACAGCAAGCGGCCAAGCGAAAGCGUUAAGUAUUCCACCUGGGGAGUACGCCGGCAACGGUGAAACUCAAAGGAAUUGACGGGGGCCCGCACAAGCGGAGGAACAUGUGGUUUAAUUCGAUGAUACGCGAGGAACCUUACCCGGGCUUAAAUUGCAGAUGAAUUACGGUGAAAGCCGUAAGCCGCAAGGCAUCUGUGAAGGUGCUGCAUGGUUGUCGUCAGCUCGUGCCGUGAGGUGUCGGCUUAAGUGCCAUAACGAGCGCAACCCUUGUUGUCAGUUACUAACAGGUUCCGCUGAGGACUCUGACAAGACUGCCAUCGUAAGAUGUGAGGAAGGUGGGGAUGACGUCAAAUCAGCACGGCCCUUACGUCCGGGGCUACACACGUGUUACAAUGGGGGGUACAGAGGGCCGCUACCACGCGAGUGGAUGCCAAUCCCCAAAACCUCUCUCAGUUCGGACUGGAGUCUGCAACCCGACUCCACGAAGCUGGAUUCGCUAGUAAUCGCGCAUCAGCCACGGCGCGGUGAAUACGUUCCCGGGCCUUGUACACACCGCCCGUCAAGCCAUGGGAGCCGGGGGUACCUGAAGUGCGUAACCGCGAGGAGCGCCCUAGGGUAAAACUGGUGACUGGGGCU
rnacentral:rRNA from 1 species